rnacentral:lncRNA from 7 species
CUAUUUAAUUAUAAUAUAUAAGAUUUCAGCUUGAAUUUCUUCCCAUCAAGGUUGUCAUAUUUUCUGCAAAGCAAGAUGAUAAAGGUAUGUAUAAAAAUUAAUGUAUACCAGAGUUUGUACUGAACAGCUACUGUCAUUCUGUGAAAAUUACUGAAUGACUAAAUAUAUUUUCUGAACCUAAUCCUUACCUAUUUUUGCUAGCUUUGUGGGAUUAUUCUCCCUUUGUUAAGACUAACCAAUAAUCUGCAAAGCACAGUAGUGGAGUAGACCUUCUGUGAAAAGAUACAUAUAAAUAUUACUUUGCACUGUAUUGUAGUGUGCCUACCUUUCCUAAAAAUACAUAUUUUAGAAUAGAUGUGCAGUAAAUAAUGAAAUGUUUCAGAAAAUAUGUCUGAGAACAAGAAUAACUCUGCUCCCUUCUAUAUUUACACAAUAGAAAAUGAUUUUAAAAGAAAGACUUUGUACAACCAAAGUGUAUCAGUCAGUUCUGCUUGUUGCCCUGUAAACUUCUUCCUUAAUUUUCAGUAUACAGAAGCUUAGAGGCUCAACUGACCUUGCACAAACUUAGCCAACCUAAGCAAUCUUCUUCCAGAUGGGUGCUUCAUUAUUUAAGUGAUACUGCACUGUUAAGCUCCUUCAGAAAUGGACAUGCCAAACCAACGUCUGGUCCUCAGAUCCUUAUCUCCUGACAAAGGAUUCUGAACCUCAAAUAGAACUGCAGAUGGAAAUGGACUAUGAGGGUCCAUUUCUCUCUACUCCAUCAGAAGUGCUUGCUGCUUCCUUCUGUGUCAUGGAGUCACAGUUGUAUGUGUAGAGUUGCCUUUAAACACAGAUGCCGUUGAGAGAGAUGAGUUUAGGAGGAUGCAGAUGAAAAUAGUGCAUGAAAAGAAAUUUUCAGUGAGGUCACUUUGCUGUUUCUUCAGAUAAGGAGAAGGUUAAGGACAACUAUUCAGGCUUUCUGAGAACGUGGAUCUCUAGUAAAAGGAUGCUUCGGAAGUGAUGGAUUGAGGUGCACACAUAAUGACCUGUUCCAGUCAGAAACUGAGAGCCUCAGAAGGAGUUGCCAACCAGAUCUAUAGAAUGAGACGUGAGUGUAUACAAGAGCAGUGCUUGUACAUUUUGCAUGUCUGUCUUCCUGCCAAAACAAGUAAAAACAGUCAAGACUGUGCAUUUUGG